rnacentral:rRNA from 1 species
UGCAGUCGAACGCUGAAGCACCAGCUUGCUGGUGUGGAUGAGUGGCGAACGGGUGAGUAAUACGUGAGUAACCUGCCCUUGACUCUGGGAUAAGCCCGGGAAACUGGGUCUAAUACUGGAUGCUACAUGUCACCGCAUGGUGGUGUGUGGAAAGGGUUUACUGGUCUUGGAUGGGCUCACGGCCUAUCAGCUUGUUGGUGAGGUAAUGGCUCACCAAGGCGACGACGGGUAGCCGGCCUGAGAGGGUGACCGGCCACACUGGGACUGAGACACGGCCCAGACUCCUACGGGAGGCAGCAGUGGGGAAUAUUGCACAAUGGGCGAAAGCCUGAUGCAGCGACGCCGCGUGAGGGAUGACGGCCUUCGGGUUGUAAACCUCUUUCAGCAGGGAAGAAGCCACAAGUGACGGUACCUGCAGAAGAAGCGCCGGCUAACUACGUGCCAGCAGCCGCGGUAAUACGUAGGGCGCAAGCGUUGUCCGGAAUUAUUGGGCGUAAAGAGCUCGUAGGCGGUUUGUCGCGUCUGCUGUGAAAGCCCGGGGCUUAACCCCGGGUGUGCAGUGGGUACGGGCAGACUAGAGUGCAGUAGGGGAGACUGGAAUUCCUGGUGUAGCGGUGGAAUGCGCAGAUAUCAGGAGGAACACCGAUGGCGAAGGCAGGUCUCUGGGCUGUUACUGACGCUGAGGAGCGAAAGCAUGGGGAGCGAACAGGAUUAGAUACCCUGGUAGUCCAUGCCGUAAACGUUGGGCACUAGGUGUGGGGGACAUUCCACGUUUUCCGCGCCGUAGCUAACGCAUUAAGUGCCCCGCCUGGGGAGUACGGCCGCAAGGCUAAAACUCAAAGGAAUUGACGGGGGCCCGCACAAGCGGCGGAGCAUGCGGAUUAAUUCGAUGCAACGCGAAGAACCUUACCAAGGCUUGACAUAUACCGGAUCGUUCCAGAGAUGGUUCUUCCCCUUUGGGGUCGGUAUACAGGUGGUGCAUGGUUGUCGUCAG